AUUGAACGCUGGCGGCGUGCCUAACACAUGCAAGUCGAGCGGUAACAGGUGUAGCAAUACAUGCUGACGAGCGGCGGACGGGUGAGUAACGCUUGGGAAUCUGCCUAUUAGUGGGGGACAACCCGGGGAAACUCGGGCUAAUACCGCAUACGCUCUACGGAGGAAAGCCGGGGACCGCAAGGCCUGGCGCCAAUAGAUGAGCCCAAGUCGGAUUAGCUAGUUGGUAGGGUAANGGCCUACCAAGGCGACGAUCCGUAACUGGUCUGAGAGGACGACCAGUCACACCGGAACUGAGACACGGUCCGGACUCCUACGGGAGGCAGCAGUGGGGAAUAUUGGACAAAUGGGCGAAAGCCUGAUCCAGCGACGCCGCGUGGGUGAAGAAGGCCUGCGGGUU
rnacentral:rRNA from 1 species